rnacentral:rRNA from 1 species
GGAAUAAUUUUUAUAUAAAGGUCGGAGGGAGAGUAUUAGUAAGUGGGAAUUUAAAAAUUUUGGCGGUUGAUUUAUUUAUUAGAGGAGCUUGUUUUAAGGAGAAUUUACUCGUUAUAUUUAAAUAGAUUUCUGUUUAUUCAUCUCCGUUAUUAGAUGACAUGUAGUUGGAGGAAACUGUUGGUUUGGAUUUCAGGUCUAGAUGUAGCUAGAUGUAGGUAGGAUUAGCUACAAUUAUGAAUUAAUGGAUUGGGGCUGGGAUAGGAAAAGAAAAUUGGAUUUAGAUGUAAUUUUGAUUAGGAAGUCGAGCGUAAGUAAGGAAAUUGAUGUACAUAUC